rnacentral:rRNA from 1 species
UACGUAGGGGGCUAGCGUGUCCGGAUUUAUUGGGCGUAAAGAGCGUGUAGGCGGCCAGGUAGGUCUGCUGUGAAAACUCGAGGCUCAACCUCGAGACGUCGGCGGAAACCAUCUGGCUAGAGUCCGGAAGAGGAGAGUGGAAUUCCUGGUGUAGCGGUGAAAUGCGCAGAUAUCAGGAAGAACACCCGUGGCGAAGGCGGCUCUCUGGGACGGUACUGACGCUGAGACGCGAAAGCGUGGGGAGCGAACAGG